rnacentral:rRNA from 1 species
UACGGGGGGGGCAAGCGUUGUUCGGAAUUACUGGGCGUAAAGGGCUCGUAGGCGGCCAACUAAGUCAGACGUGAAAUCCCCAGGCUUAACCUGGGAACUGCGUCUGAUACUGGAUGGCUUGAAUUCGGGAGAGGGAUGCAGAAUUCCAGGUGUAGCGGUGAAAUGCGUAGAUAUCUGGAGGAACACCGGUGGCGAAGGCGGCAUCCUGGACCGGCAUUGACGCUGAGGCGCGAAAGCUAGGGGAGCAAACGGG